GAUGAACGCUAGCGGCAGGCCUAACACAUGCAAGUCGAGGGAGAAGCCCUUCGGGGCAGAAACCGGCGCACGGGUGCGUAGCGCGUAUGCAACCUACCUUUCACAGGGGGAUAGCCCGAAGAAAUUUGGAUUAAUACCCCAUAAUAUUAUUGGAUGGCAUCAUUUGAUAAUUAAAAUUACGAUGGUGAAAGAUGGGCAUGCGUCCUAUUAGCUAGUUGGAGUGGUAACGGCACCCCAAGGCUACGAUAGGUAGGGGUCCUGAGAGGGAGAUCCCCCACACUGGUACUGAGACAGGGACCAGACUCCUACGGGAGGCAGCAGUGAGGAAUAUUGGUCAAUGGUCGGAAGACUGAACCAGCCAUGCCGCGUGCAGGAAGAAUGCCUUAUGGGUUGUAAACUGCUUUUAUAUGGGAAGAAUAAGGAGUACGUGUACUUUGA
rnacentral:rRNA from 1 species